rnacentral:rRNA from 1 species
GACGAACGCUGGCGGCGUGCUUAACACAUGCAAGUCGAACGGAAAGGCCCUGCUUUUGUGGGGUGCUCGAGUGGCGAACGGGUGAGUAACACGUGAGUAACCUGCCCUUUACUUUGUGAUAACUUCAGGAAACUUGGGCUAAUACCGGAUAGGAUCUCCUGCUGCAUGUUGGGGGUUGGAAAGUUUCGGCGGUUGGGGAUGGACUCGCGGCUUAUCAGCUUGUUGGUGGGGUAGUUGCUUACCAAGGCUUUGACGGGUAGCCGGCCUGAGAGGGUGAACGGCAACAUUGGGACUGAGAGACGGCCCAGACGCCAACGGGAGGCAGCAGUGGGGAAUAUUGCACAAUGGGAGGAAGCCUGAUGAAGAAACGCCGCGUGCGGGAUGACGGCCUUCGGGUUGUAAACCGCUUUCGCCUGUGACGAAGCGUGAGUGACGGUAAUGGGUAAAGAAGCACCGGCUAACUACGUG